UACGUAGGGGGCAAGCGUUGUCCGGAAUCAUUGGGCGUAAAGAGCGUGUAGGCGGUCCGGUAAGUCAGCUGUGAAAGUCAAGGGCUCAACCCUUGAAAGCCGGUUGAUACUGUCGGGCUAGAGUCCGGAAGAGGCGAGUGGAAUUCCCGGUGUAGCGGUGAAAUGCGCAGAUAUCGGGAGGAACAUCAGUUGCGAAGGCGGCUCUCUGGACCAGCACUGACACUGAGGCACGAAAGCGUGGGGAGCAAACAGG
rnacentral:rRNA from 1 species